UUGUUUUGGCAAAUUGUUUAUUCCUCUCAAAAAUAGUAGGUAUAGCACUGAAUAUCUCGAGGGAGUAUGAAAAUAUUUAUCUCAGAUAUUUAAUCUCAAAAUAACUAUUUCUUAAAAUAAAUAAUCAGACUAUGUGCGAUAAGGUAGAUAGUCGAAAGGGAAACAGCCCAGAACAGUAAUUAAAGCUCCCCAAUUAAUAUUAAGUGAA
rnacentral:rRNA from 1 species